GUCACACCUGUUCCCAUGCCGAACACAGAAGUUAAGCUCCUUAGCGCCGAUGGUAGUCGGACUGACGUUCCGCUAGAGUAGGACGUUGCCAGGC
rnacentral:rRNA from 2 species